rnacentral:rRNA from 1 species
UGGGGAAUAUUGGACAAUGGGCGCAAGCCUGAUCCAGCCAUGCCGCGUGAGUGAUGAAGGCCCUAGGGUUGUAAAGCUCUUUCACCGGUGAAGAUAAUGACGGUAACCGGAGAAGAAGCCCCGGCUAACUUCGUGCCAGCAGCCGCGGUAAUACGAAGGGGGCUAGCGUUGUUCGGAUUUACUGGGCGUAAAGCGCACGUAGGCGGACUAUUAAGUCAGGGGUGAAAUCCCGGGGCUCAACCCCGGAACUGCCUUUGAUACUGGUAGUCUUGAGUUCGAGAGAGGUGGGUGGAAUUCCGAGUGUAGAGGUGAAAUUCGUAGAUAUUCGGAGGAACACCAGUGGCGAAGGCAGCUCACUGGCUCGAUACUGACGCUGAGGUGCGAAAGCGUGGGGAGCAAACAGG